GGUUCUGAGAGGAAGGUCCCCCACAUUGGAACUGAGACACGGUCCAAACUCCUACGGGAGGCAGCAGUGAGGAAUAUUGGUCAAUGGGCGAGAGCCUGAACCAGCCAAGUAGCGUGCAGGAAGACGGCCCUAUGGGUUGUAAACUGCUUUUAUAAGGGAAUAAAGUUAGUCUCGUGAGACUUUUUGCAUGUACCUUAUGAAUAAGGACCGGCUAAUUCCGUGCCAGCAGCCGCGGUAAUACGGAAGGUCCGGGCGUUAUCCGGAUUUAUUGGGUUUAAAGGGAGCGUAGGCCGGAGAUUAAGCGUGUUGUGAAAUGUAGACGCUCAACGUCUGCACUGCAGCGCGAACUGGUUUCCUUGAGUACGCACAAAGUGGGCGGAAUUCGUGGUGUAGCGGUGAAAUGCUUAGAUAUCACGAAGAACUCCGAUUGCGAAGGCAGCUCACUGGAGCGCAACUGACGCUGAAGCUCGAAAGUGCGGGUAUCGAACAGGAUUAGAUACCCUGGUAGUCCGCACGGUAAACGAUGGAUGCCCGCUGUUGGUCUGAACAGGUCAGCGGCCAAGCGAAAGCAUUAAGCAUCCCACCUGGGGAGUACGCCGGCAACGGUGAAACUCAAAGGAAUUGACGGGGGCCCGCACAAGCGGAGGAACAUGUGGUUUAAUUCGAUGAUACGCGAGGAACCUUACCCGGGCUUGAAUUGCAGAGGAAGGAUUUGGAGACAAUGACGCCCUUCGGGGUCUCUGUGAAGGUGCUGCAUGGUUGUCGUCAGCUCGUGCCGUGAGGUGUCGGCUUAAGUGCCAUAACGAGCGCAACCCCUCUCCUUAGUUGCCAUCAGGUUAAGCUGGGCACUCUGGGGACACUGCCACCGUAAGGUGUGAGGAAGGUGGGGAUGACGUCAAAUCAGCACGGCCCUUACGUCCGGGGCUACACACGUGUUACAAUGGCAGGUACAGAGAGACGGUUGUACGUAAGUACGAUCAAAUCCUUAAAGCCUGUCUCAGUUCGGACUGGGGUCUGCAACCCGACCCCACGAAGCUGGAUUCGCUAGUAAUCGCGCAUCAGCCAUGGCGCGGUGAAUACGUUCCCGGGCCUUGUACACACCGCCCGUCAAGCCAUGAAAGCCGGGGGCGCCUAAAGUCCGUGACCGUAAGGAGCGGCCUAGGGCGAAACUGGUAAUUGGGGCUAAGUCGUAACAAGGUA
rnacentral:rRNA from 1 species